rnacentral:rRNA from 1 species
AGUUGGGAAUCUUGCACAAUGGGGGAAACCCUGAUGCAGCGACGCCGCGUGGAGGAUGACGGGUCUAGGCCUGUAAACUCCUUUUAUCGGGAAAGACUUAGGACGGUACCCGAUGAAUAAGCACCGGCUAACUACGUGCCAGCAGCCGCGGUAAGACGUAGGGUGCAAGCGUUGUCCGGAUUUACUGGGCGUAAAGAGCGCGUAGGCGGCUUGUUAAGUGUGAAGCUAAAUCUCCAGGCUCAACCUGGAAACUAUUUCGCAUACUGGCUGGCUGGAGGAAUGCAGAGGUCAGUGGAAUUCCUGGUGUAGCGGUGAAAUGCGUAGAUAUCAGGAGGAACACCCAUGGCGAAGGCAGCUGACUGGGCAUUAUCUGACGCUGAGGCGCGAAAGCGUGGGUAGCAAA